GAGAGAAGCUAGCGGCGGACGGGUGAGUAACACGUGGGCAACCUGCCUCAUAGAGGGGAAUAGCCUCCCGAAAGGGAGAUUAAUACCGCAUAAGAUUGUAGCUUCGCAUGAAGUAGCAAUUAAAGGAGCAAUCCGCUAUGAGAUGGGCCCGCGGCGCAUUAGCUAGUUGGUGAGGUAACGGCUCACCAAGGCGACGAUGCGUAGCCGACCUGAGAGGGUGAUCGGCCACAUUGGGACUGAGACACGGCCCAGACUCCAACGGGAGGCAGCAGUGGGGAAUAUUGCACAAUGGGGGAAACCCUGAUGCAGCAACGCCGCGUGAGUGAUGACGGCCUUCGGGUUGUAAAGCUCUGUCUUCAGGGACGAUAAUGACGGUACCUGAGGAGGAAGCCACGGCUAACUACGUGCCAGCAGCCGCGGUAAUACGUAGGUGGCGAGCGUUGUCCGGAUUUACUGGGCGUAAAGGGAGCGUAGGCGGACUUUUAAGUGAGAUGUGAAAUACGCGGGGCUCAACUUGGGGUGCUGCAUUUCAAACUGGGAAGUCUAGAGUGCAGGAGAGGAGAAUGGAAUUUCCUAGUG
rnacentral:rRNA from 1 species